GCUGUUUAGCGGCAGGAUUGGGCGUCAGGGUUGCCAUAAAGCCAGAGUACAGGAUACCUCCUCCGCCCCAUCUUUCUCCACAAGUUGGAGAGAUAAGUCGAAGCAACUUCCAGUUUGACUUUGACUUUGAGAGAGGAAUUUUAGCUGAGGCAGAGCAAGAAAGCCUGAACUCGAGCAGGCUUGCCAUGGAAAAUCUUCCGUCACGAACCACCGAGCCUACUCAAUCAGUUCGGUAAUUCGUAAAUGGGUACACUCUUUCACGGGAAUCAGGUUUUCGUCUAGCAGUGUUGCGGAACCCUUGGUCACAUAUGAUAACGACACUGAAAAAGCAUUGGCUCAUUUCCUCAAUGGUUCAUCUUGAUGCUCUACCUGAUGAUAUUCCAGAGCGUAUAUUGGGGAAGUGAUCUUUCCUUUCCAGUCAUUAUGCUGCAUCUUCUUAUUGAAUAGUCUUCUAGUCAUGAUGAAGUUUGUCAAAUUACAGGUUGACAUUAAUAUACAUCAUGUGAAGAAGGAGCUAAUGGUAAAAAGAUGUCUAGUGGCUGGGACAGGGUCAAAACAAUGUCUAAUGGCUUGCGUCCCAGCUUAGAUUGAGAGGACGCAUUUUAGAGAGGUACACUGUUGUGGAUCUAAGCAUUUUGGGAUACAUUGCGCUCAGGAUUGCACUCAUAUUAGAAUGAGUGAUAGUCCAUUAUCGUCUUUUGCCAUAUGCGUUCUGUUUCUUCAUAUGCCAAUCAUUUCUGCUCUGCCGUAUAUGACAGUCCAGCAUAUCAUAUGGGUCUUAUUGUAAUAGUCCAGUGGA